rnacentral:rRNA from 1 species
CGGGUCCCGAUGCUAGUGGCGCACGGGUGAGUAACACGUGGGAACGUACCCUUUAGUACGGAAUAACUGAGGGAAACUUCAGCUAAUACCGUAUGACUCCUUCGGGAGAAAGAUUUAUCGCUAAAGGAUCGGCCCGCGUCUGAUUAGGUAGUUGGUGAGGUAAUGGCUCACCAAGGCGACGACGGGUAGCCGGCCUGAGAGGGUGAACGGCCACACUGGGACUGAGACACGGCCCAGACUCC